rnacentral:rRNA from 1 species
AAGCGGUGGAGCAUGUGGUUUAAUUCGAUGCAACGCGAAGAACCUUACCUGGGCUUGACAUCCCUGGAAUCCCCUGGAAACAGGGAGUGCCCUUCGGGGAGCCAGGAGACAGGUGCUGCAUGGCUGUCGCCAGCUCGUGUCGUGAGAUGUUGGGUUAAGUCCCGCAACGAGCGCAACCCUUGUCUUUAAUUGCCAUCAUUCAGUUGGGCACUUUAAAGAGACUGCCGGUGUUAAACCGGAGGAAGGUGGGAUGACGUCAAGUCCUCAUGGCCUUUAUGCCCAGGGCUACACACGUGCUACAAUGGGUGGUACAAAGAGAUGCAAUCUCGCAAGAGCAAGCAAACCUCAAAAAGCCAUCCUCAGUUCGGAUUGGAGUCUGCAACUCGACUCCAUGAAGUCGGAAUCGCUAGUAAUCGCGGAUCAGCACGCCGCGGUCGAAUACGUUCCCGGGCCUU